UCAUAUCUGCCUCAAUUGUACCAACAAAGAAUAUAGAGAUAAGGAAGAAUACAAAUAUCAAAAGUAUGAAGAUUAACGUUGCAAUACUCGUUCUCAUCUUGUUUGUUACAGCUGCAGAGAUGACGGAUGCCAUUAGAGAUGUCGUCCCAAUGGAGCCAGAGCCACCAGGUGCGCAACCUACCAACGCUGGCAUGAAUACAACUGUUCACCAUGGUAUUCAAGGUGAGGAACCAUCACCAGGGAUAGCUGAGGCCGACAACGUUGAUCACUACAAUGUUCAAGGUGAGGAACCGUCACCAGGGAUAGCAGAGCUUAAUAACAUUGAUCACCACAAUAUUCAAGGUGAGGAACCGUCAUCAGGGAUAGCGGAGCUUAACAACGUUGAACACCACAAUGUUCAAGGCGAGGAACCAUCCCCAGGGAUAGCCGAGCCUGUCAAUGUUGAUCACUACAUUGUUCAAGGUGAGGAACCAUCAUCAGGGAUAGCCGAGCUUGACAACUCUAUUCACCACAGUUUUCAAGGCGAGGAACCGUCACCAAGGAUAGCUUAAGGUCGAACUAGCCGUCACACCACAACUCAUCAUCAUAUUGUUGUAGUGUAGAUCGAGCCACCGAAACCUAAAAAAUCAGGUAAGUUAUGUGGAUAUAAAAAUGACGAUGUUGAUAAGAAUUUAAAAAGGAAAUAUUCUGAGAUAUAGAAAGGGAAAUACAAAAUUAAAAAGAAUGAUAAUAACAUAAACUAAAUUUUCUAAAAAUUCUUUUCCCAUUAAUUAUCCAAUCACCCAAAAGGAAAAAAAAUUUAUAAAAAUUAUCUACUUAGAUUAAUUUACCAUAAAAUACAUAAUUUCUAUAUUGGUCGGUGGAUGAAAAUUUGGAAACAAAAACUACCAUAUAUGAAAUUCAAAUACCAAAUCAUUAGCUAAGAUAAUAUUUAAUGAGAAGUUGUUAAUUGAAAAGGCUGGCGUAGAAUACUUUUGUGCAUUAACUUAAUUAAUGAAUAACUUUGGUAAGUUUCAUUUUUCAACUACCUACUUGGUAGGUAGGAUCUCCCUGGAUUGGUUAUUUCAAAUUAUAUAUACCCCCAACUAUCACAUAACCACAAUCAUAUCUGCCUCAAUUGUACCAACAAAGAAUAUAGAGAUAAGGAAGAAUACAAAUAUCAAAAGUAUGAAGAUUAACGUUGCAAUACUCGUUCUCAUCUUGUUUGUUACAGCUGCAGAGAUGACGGAUGCCAUUAGAGAUGUCGUCCCAAUGGAGCCAGAGCCACCAGGUGCGCAACCUACCAACGCUGGCAUGAAUACAACUGUUCACCAUGGUAUUCAAGGUGAGGAACCAUCACCAGGGAUAGCUGAGGCCGACAACGUUGAUCACUACAAUGUUCAAGGUGAGGAACCGUCACCAGGGAUAGCAGAGCUUAAUAACAUUGAUCACCACAAUAUUCAAGGUGAGGAACCGUCAUCAGGGAUAGCGGAGCUUAACAACGUUGAACACCACAAUGUUCAAGGCGAGGAACCAUCCCCAGGGAUAGCCGAGCCUGUCAAUGUUGAUCACUACAUUGUUCAAGGUGAGGAACCAUCAUCAGGGAUAGCCGAGCUUGACAACUCUAUUCACCACAGUUUUCAAGGCGAGGAACCGUCACCAAGGAUAGCUUAAGGUCGAACUAGCCGUCACACCACAACUCAUCAUCAUAUUGUUGUAGUGUAGAUCGAGCCACCGAAACCUAAAAAAUCUAUCGUUAAUUUACAAGUGUCAUGCACACAGUGAUAUGCAUUUGUCAAUUUGGUAGAAAUAAACAACAUUGGUCGGCAAAAAUUAUUGUGUUCUAUGUCGGUUAUUAUAAAAUGGUCAAUCAUAUAUUUAUUAAAAAUGACAAUGAGAUCUAAAUCUAAUAUUUUUAGUUAUGAUUAUAAUUUUACUUGUUCG
rnacentral:lncRNA from 1 species